UAGGUUGUUGCGUGGUUGUGGAUGGAUCGUUCGAUGAAGCAAAUCCUACACAAUUGGUCGAUGAGAAACAAAUCCAACAUUCAGUUUUUAGCAACGGCGCAAGAAACGAAGAAACUUUUCAGUAGUUGUAAAUUUCUUAGGACAAAUGAGAAAUUACACUGGCAUGAAAUGUUAGAAAGAAAGGAAUUGAAAUGAAUCAAAAACGUAAAUAUUAAAGCGUUUAACUACAAAAUAAAAGAUUACCACCAAGUUGAAAGUUCUUUAGGACAAAUAAAAAAAACCGGCAUGUCAUUUUAUGAGGAAAGGAUAUAAAAUGAACCAGAAAUCAUUUAACCAAGAAACUAAAAAGGUUCCCACCUAAUUGAAAGUUCCUUAGGACAAAUGAGAAAUUAAAACAGCAUGUCAUUUUAUGAGGAAAGGAUGUAAAACGAAUCAGAAAUCAUUUAACCACAAAAUUAAAAAGCUUCCCACCAAAUUGAAAGUUCCUUAGGAUAAAAGAAAAAUUAAACUGGGAUGUUAUGUUAUGAGGAAAGGAAAUAAAUCAUAAGUGUAAAUAUAAAAGCAUUGGACUCGGAAAUUAAAAACAUUUCCAAUAAGGUGCAAGUUUUUAAGAACAAAUGAAUAAUUAAACUGUCAUAAAAUGUUAUGAAAGAAGGAAUUAAAAUGAAUCGGAAACCCAACUCUAAAAUUAUUGUUAAACGAGGGUUGAUGAAAUGAUGCAAUGACACAAAUAGACAACGGUUUAUUCGUGGACGGGGUAUCAACAGUACAAUUCAAGAGUUCGAAUAAAAAUGGCGUCUUUUUCGGCAUGUCCGCGUCUCACGCCCACCCAAAUAAU